GCCAGUGUGGUAUAGUGAUUUGAGCAUUGGACUAUAACUCUAGAGGCUAAGGUUCAAAUCCCAGCUCAGCCA